rfam:Erythrobacter sp. HI0063 HI0063_c122, whole genome shotgun sequence.
CUUCGUGGUCCUAGCGCCUGUGACCCACCCGAUCCCAUCUCGAACUCGGCCGUGAAACCAGGCAGCGCCGAUGGUACUAGUGCCUAAGCACUGGGAGAGUAGGUCGCCGCGAGGC